UUUGAAUAAACAAAAUUAAAUCAUGUUUUAUUAAAUUGAAAACAUAAAGAUGAGAUGCAAACAUGUCUAUCAACAUAGAAAACAAAAAAUAACAAUAAAGAGAAAGGGAAGAAGGGUAGCUGAUUGGGGGUUAUCCAUGACCAUUUUACUAUAAGAAGAGAAAACAAUUGAACUGCAAAGGGUUAUCUACGAUUGCUCCUUGUGUCUUCCCAUGCUGGCUCUCUUCCUCUUCUUUAUGUUAAACCAGCAAUACAUUCUCAACCUACUCUCUCUGGCUGCUCUCAUUUUCGGCAAGUGGAUUGCCUUAUUUUGUGGCAAGCAAAAAGUUUAGCCAGCCAUAAGGAAACAAGAAUACUCAAUGCUUUUUUCUCU
rnacentral:lncRNA from 1 species